rnacentral:lncRNA from 10 species
GACCCUUCUCUGUUAUGAAAGCAGAGAUCCCACCCGAAUAGGGUGACUUUGGGGCGAUGGAUUACCUUUGGCAGGUCCUGUGGGUCAGGAAUUUAGGGGUGCAGCGUGGGCCCACAGCAUACCCAGUAGCCAAGGAAGACCCUCCCCUACCCGAGGCUCAAGCAGGCGCCAGGCCCCAAACCCUCACUCCUCUCUGGUCUAAAUCCCCGCCGUAGGAUUUUAUUUUUCGGUGCUGAGGUGCUUUGCUGGAGGAGCUGCCAGGGGGAGCUGCGCGGGGCAGGCCCGGGGUACCAGAGGCCCUUGCUUUAGCGGCGGCCCUGCGUGUGCCAGAGGCUUGCAGAGUGAUCUGAGCACGCCAAGAGAUUGCUGUCAAGUAAGCUCCUCCACAAAUCUGCAGAAACCUCAAAGAUUACAGCGCUCGCACGGCAGGAGCGCAGCGGCUUCCCAUACGCCGGCAGACAAUGGGGCGGAGGAAGGAAGGGGACGGUGGCCUGGGGACCCCCGCGCCCGCAGCACGUGCACCGAGCCUGGAGCGCCCGCUUUACAGAUCUUGUCGCUCCACCCCUAAAACAAAGGCCCCGGGGCCCCAUCUGUGCCGGGCGCGGGGGAGGGCGCCGCACUUGCUGCCCGCCGCGUGCAAAGCGAGCCAGACAAAGGGCUCAGCCCUGCAGACGCGAGCAGUGGGGAAAUAAUUAAGCACUAAGGAAAUAUUGUAUGUGGAUUUGAGACCAACGGGAAACGCGCUCCCAAACAAUGCUCGUUGUUUGCACCGAGCCGCUUUUCUGCUAAGUUUCAUCAAGUAAUUUGCAUGCCAUUUCAAUAAAAUUAACGAAUUAUGGUCGAGUUUUUUGUUUUAUUGACCUAAAAUAAAAAUCUUCCUUUCCUUUAUUAUUGAAAUAAUUCGCCCCCCAUCCCCCCCGGCUCCCAUCCUCUGGGAAGGCUGCACAGCGCGCCAAGGAAAUCUGUCCUCCCAGCCAGACCCCAGCGGCCUUUCUGCUGCGCUCCACAGCUAACUCCCCGGAAACCCUGCGUUUAUUCUGGCUGCCCCCUUUGACUGUGGCAAUAAAUAGAACUUCAACCCUCUCACUUUCUUAUGCCUGCUUUUCUUACAGUGAAAGCACCAGAUUUCCGCGUAGGAGGGACUCGGGGGCAACGAUGCAAUUGGAAGUUCCAGGAACAAAGUCACUCACUGUCCUGUGGGUAGUCUCCGAGUCUCUGCGAGGACCCACUGCACGGCAGGAGCUAGUCUCAGACUGAGGGUGUGACCUGGAUGGAGUGGUAC